GUAGGUGAACCUGCGGAAGGAUCAUUAAAAAGGGUGGCCAGAGUGGCCGGGCCCGCGGCAUCGCAGGCCCGGCUCGCGAAGGGCCACCCCCAAAAGUAUGGGCCUGUAGGUGGGGUCGAGCGGCGAGCCUCGGCUGCGUCGGUCCCCCGCCGACCGCCCGAGAAGAGAAACCCCUGUCAUUGGCAAAUCUGCGUCUCCUCGGCGG
rnacentral:misc_RNA from 1 species